GCGGCGCCGCAGCCCGCAACAUGCUCACAGAGCCGGCCGUGCCUCCUGCAACACGCUGCAGGCCAAUCCGCUCACUCAAUCCGUGUUGGGUUACAAUGACAAGGGCCCUGUCUGAACCACGACUUUUAGAAAGAUAAUAUUACAGGCCCGCUGCUGAUCCAUCUCCCAGUACACAAUUGAGACAGAGGAGGUUAAAGCACUCUGAACGCAUGGGACUAUAUUGCAGGUGUUUGUGCCUGUGGCAAGGUCUUGGUCUUUUGUUCCCUCCCACUCCCUUUAGUCCACCACAACACGACCGGCAUGAACACGAGCCUCAGACAGCGCCUCCCAGCACUCCUCCGUGUUCUCCUCCAUCUGCCUCCUGUCCAUUGAUCAGCCUUCCAGGGCAUCAGUCUGUUUAACAUCUGCUACAAGUUCCAGCAGCUCAGAUGCGUCGAGGCUGUAAUGAAGAGCUCUUGAACUCGCAGUCAGAGAAGCUGUGACAGGAGUUCAGGAGGACGCCUCUUUGGCUCUGCUGGACGUACGACACAUACACACACCCAGUCACACAUGCACCUAGAGACAGCAACAAACAGCUAAUACAGAAAUCAAAAUGAAUCUGUCACUCAGACGUUGUUUCACAAAUCACUAGCUUUUCAUUUAAGGUGUCCAGUGUCCAAUCUUCCUUCUGAUAUUGGAAAAAUAUCAAAAAUCUACCUCUGCGCUUCUGUUUUUUUAUUUUCUGUUUUCCUGUUAUUUAUUUUUUGGCACUGCUUUGACAUGAGGUUAGAGACGCAAUAUGAGAAACAUCUUCAUGGAGGCAUAACUUGAGUUUAUGAACUAUAAAAGCCGCCGUAUUUCUAGCUUUCAGAGCUUUAUUAUCAUGCCUUUGGUGCCGCUGCACAUCUUUAGGCAGGUACAUUUUAUUUUGAGAUUUUUGCCUUCAGGCCCUGAAUUGAAAUGGAAGACCAAAUGGCACAAAUGGCAAGUGCAUCAUUCCUAGCUCUCUGCAGCCUCCCAACACAAACUGGUCAAGCAGAAAUGAGACCUGCAUCAAUUUUAAUUUGUAUUUAUCCCGCUGAUGACCCGCUCCUUUCACUCCGCCGUUGGAGGCGCAAAUUACACCCAUCAUAACUCUGAUUCUAACGGCCCACGGUGUGCUAUCAGAAAAUGAGCAUGGUUAUAUACCACCGGCGGGUUCAAGGUGUCACAACACAAUUAUACAAUCAUGCAACCUGACGAGCUCUGACUGGUCGCCGUUGUAUGACAACUAAGCUGGAGGGCCACGCUGUCUGUCACAUGCAGGCGGGUAAGAUAAGUUCACAGACGAGUAGACUGUGCCUCAGUGUCUGCUGCUCUCUAUCUAAAUCAGUUAAAUAUCACACAGAUGCUACAGUCUGGGGAGAUUUUUUUGGGGGGAAGUAUAAAGACCUCCAUCUGAAGUUAUCUUUGACUUGUCAGGUUUUUAUUUGGCACAGAAAAUUGAGCCUGGAGGGGGGAGUAAAAGAAAAACAUAAAUCAACGUGAUAUAACAUUGGCUCCCUGUGUAUCAUUAAUAUAAUUAUGUCAACAAUGAGGAAAGUUUAAAACCUACUACACACUGCAGUGCUGGCAGCAGCUCACGGUGACUUUGCAUCAACCCUAAUCCUUGUAUCUCAUAAAACUUAGACCAAAAAAUGAAGGGAAGCUACCAAGCCUGGAUCCCCGGUGUGAUCUCAGUGUCAAGCCAUUAGGCUGUGUGAAAUGAGGUGCCACUCAUGAGUUAUAAUGCUGCACAUCUAUAGAUGCAAUGGUAAAAUAUAGCCCUUCAAUGCUCAGUCCUCUGUUGGAGUUGGGGAAAUAAUUCUGCUCUGAUAGCAGUCCGUCCUGCAA